rnacentral:rRNA from 1 species
CCUGGUGGUCAUAGCGGGGGAAUUCCACCCGAUCCCAUUCCGAACUCGGCCGUUAAAGCCCCCUGCGCCCAUGGUACUGCGUGAAAACACGCGGGAGAGUCGGUCGCCGCCCGGC